rnacentral:tRNA from 1 species
UUAAUUGAAACCAAAGUAGAGGUCUAUCACUGUUAAUGAUAAAAAUGAGUAUACUCCAAUUAAA